CGUGCUAGGUAGGGCGCGUCCUUUGAAGGCUGCAGUAUACAGAGUGUCCUCCUUUAAACAAGCCUCAUUUAAACGAGACGGCCUUCCUAAGACAAACGGAAACGGAACGUAACAUGGUUGCUAUGACAGCACGCCACUCUUUAACAAGCGCGAGCGCUUUGAGUGAGAAGGGAACAAAGUCCCUCUGGAAGGCAGUGUAUGAGGUACAUUUUAGGAGAGUUAUAAUGAUGUAAAGGGAAAGAACAUAGAUUGUUACAGGUGUACGUUUAGUCUAAUACUUUAUUUUAAUUAUAUAUUAAUAUAAUUAUACAUAUUAUAUACUCUGCACCCAUCUGCUGAGGUACUUCAACUUGGGAAUUAACAUUCCUCAUAUUUACCGGCAAAUUGGAGUAAUUUUUUUAGACAUUUCCGUUGAAGCAAAGAAUUGUGGGUUAUGAGUGCCCACGAAGGACACACCUCAUGCAUUCUCCGAAUUCCCGUGAAAGAAGGUCGCAUUCGAAAGCAGCAUUCGAAGUGUCCUACUCGCUUUUCUGAAAGGAGACAGCCUCGGUGACGUAUGAGGACGCAUCCUUCCAAACGAGACACAAUCAGCUCCCUAUAUCGUGAACACGAAUUCGAGCACUGGGAAGGGUACUGAUCCACUGGGACACUUAUGACUCAAGCACCUGCAACAGGUUAACGAGCUCGCGCACUGAAGCGCAGCUGUUAUUAAUGAGCACCAUCGUUGAAUAAAUGGACACGAUCGAUAUUCAAACCUGCAAUGUUAUUAUAACAGAAAUGGCAUAAGGGUGGCUCUCCUAUUGGAGGCACUUUUAUGUCCCUGCACCAAAAAGUCAUCUAAAAACACUUAACUAUGAAACAAACUGUUUAGUCAUUAAAAACAAUAGUAAUUUUACCUUGAAAAAAUUUACUGUACCAAAAAAUUAUGUCUUCCUAUUUAUUUUUUAAAUACCAAUACUUUGCUACUUUGGCCUUGUCCCCAACCCAGACUUUUAAACUUCUCUGUUUCGAAAAACUAUUGAAAAGUGAUCAAAUCAUGAAUAUUUCUCAUUGUGUGUCUUCAUAGUAGUUUAAAAAGUUUUGAGCUAUAUACAUUUAUUUUACAUCUGUACAAGUUGUAUAUAUUUUUGGACAAGAUAUCGCUGUCCCCAACAUUCUCGUCAUUACCAUCACAGCAUAUUGUUUCCGGGGGGUAACACCUGUUUAAGUGAUAACCAUGGAAAUAAUAACUGACAGAGGAGUACAUGCCAGCCAUGAGAGAAGUCUGAAGAUUUGAUGUUAACAAAAAUAUCAUGGCCCCAAUGACGGCAGCACAACGGUCUAGAAAAUACAGAGACAAAGUCAAGGAAGAUCCUGUGAAAUAUCAAGAGUACCUUGCAAGAGAAAAGGAAAGAUACAGGAAAGCUUAAAACAAUCUCCCAGCUUUCAAAAUGGGAAAAAAGACAUAAAUGCCGACAAUGGAAGGUUAACCAACGAAAUGAAAGAGCCAGUUAUAGGAGAAGACAGGAAAUACAGUAGUAUUUAGCAAGCAACAGCCCAUCUGAGUCUCCAGUAGACCAGCGACAGGGACAGAAUGAUGCUCAACAUUUCCAAGAAUGUCCUGAAUGUUCAAGUGCACAUCAUAAAACAGCUCACUGACGAGGACGGAAAAAGAAGGCAAACAGAACAAAAGUCUAUCGUGACCUUAGUGCAAUCCAAAAGAAGCUAGAAGAAUCUCAGAGAAAGAUGGAAAAAUACAAAAAGAAGUGUACUCGGCUUUCCCAGCAGCUUUCUAAUUUGGAGUCGCCAAUGCUGAAAACUAAAAAACAAAUGCAGCUUAAACCAAAGGCCUUAAGGAGGACAUUACUCUUUCAUAAUACGGUCUUGUCAGAGCUUAGAAAAAAAAUACCAUCAGUCUGGAGUGAAAGACAAGGAAACUCUCAAAGAUUCUGGCUGGGAAGGUACUGAAGAAGUACCAUUUUCUCAAUGAAGUGAAAAAGCAAAUUGGAAUCUCUUGCAAAACAAUGAGCAGAUUUUUCCUUCUCAUGGGCUACUUUUAUGUUAAGUGUUGUUUGUCUCUGUUUUAAUCCAUUUUUAUGUACCAUGUUACUAACUACUGUCAUCUCCAACAUGUUAUGUCAUUACCAAAACACUGCGUCAUUACCACCAUGACACUUAUUUUUCUGUAAAAGUUUUGCUUAAACUGUUUGUAUCCUCACCAUUUUGCAUGGGCUAAUUACCACUCCAUCAAAAAGAAACACCAGAAGGGGGUUUUCUGCACAUUAAUCAAAAGUGAAUAUUGCUAGAAAAUGAAAAUAUUAUUUUGAUGGUGAAAACAUGAAAAAUAUGUAAUAUGUUGUUUGUUUAAAAAAACUCAAAAGUUUUUUUUUUUUAAGUAACCAAUGUUUACAAUAUGAAUUAAUUUGAAAAACUUUCUUGUUACAUCCUUUUACGUGAAAAAAAUUAGUUUUUAAAUGUUGUGAUGAUAAUGACCAUUUGCUGUGGUGCAUCAGGGAAAAAAAGCUAAAAUAUUAUAAUUCUAUAUGGGA